rnacentral:tRNA from 1 species
AAGGAAUUAGUAAAUUCAUUACACCACCUUGUCAAGGCGGAUUAAUAGGUGAAAACCCUAUAUACCUUA